rnacentral:tRNA from 1 species
GUCCCUGUAGCUUACAGCAAAGCAUGGCACUGAAGAUGCCAAGACGGUUGUCUCUAUCAUACCCAAGGACA